rnacentral:rRNA from 1 species
GAGUUUGAUCAUGGCUCAGAUUGAACGCUGGCGGUAGGCUUAACACAUGCAAGUCGUGCGAGAAAGUAUCUUCGGAUAUGAGUAGAGCGGCGGACGGGUGAGUAACGCGUAGGAAUCUACCUAGUAGAAGGGGAUAGCCCGGGGAAACUCGGAUUAAUACCGUAUACCUCCUUCGGGAGAAAGAAGGCCUCUCUUUGAAGCUUUCGCUAUUAGAUGAGCCUGCGUAAGAUUAGCUUGUUGGUGAGGUAAAGGCUCACCAAGGCGACGAUCUUUAGCGGGUCUGAGAGGACGAUCCGCCACAUUGGGACUGAGACACGGCCCAGACUCCUACGGGAGGCAGCAGUGGGGAAUAUUGGACAAUGGGGGCAACCCUGAUCCAGCGAUGCCGCGUGAGUGAUGAAGGCCCUAGGGUUGUAAAGCUCUUUUGUCAGGGAAGAUAAUGACGGUACCUGAAGAAUAAGAUCCGGCUAACUCCGUGCCAGCAGCCGCGGUAAUACGGAGGGAUCUAGCGUUAUUCGGAAUUACUGGGCGUAAAGCGAGCGUAGGCUGAUUUGUAAGUUGGAUGUGAAAUCCCAGAGCUUAACUCUGGAACUGCAUCCAAAACUAUAUUUCUUGAGUUUGGUAGAGGAGAGUGGAAUUCCUAGUGUAGAGGUGAAAUUCGUAGAUAUUAGGAGGAACACCAGUGGCGAAGGCGACUCUCUGGGCCAAUACUGACGCUGAGGUUCGAAAGCGUGGGUAGCGAACAGGAUUAGAUACCCUGGUAGUCCACGCAGUAAACGAUGAAUGCUAGAUGUUGGAAACAUUAGUUUUCAGUAUCGCAGCUAACGCAUUAAGCAUUCCGCCUGGGAAGUACGGCCGCGAGGCUAAAACUCAAAUGAAUUGACGGGGACCCGCACAAGCGGUGGAUCAUGUGGUUUAAUUCGAAGCAACGCGGAGAACCUUACCGGCCCUUGACAUACCAAUCGCGAACUUAAGAGAUUAAGUUUUUCACUUCGGGUGGAUUGGAUACAGGUGCUGCAUGGCUGUCGUCAGCUCGUGACGUGAGAUGUUGGGUUAAGUCCCGCAACGAGCGCAACCCCUACCUUCAAUUGCCAGCACGUUAUGGUGGGAACUUUGAAGGAACUGCCGGUGAUAAGCCGGAGGAAGGUGGGGAUGACGUCAAGUCCUCAUGGCCCUUACGGGCCGGGCUACACACGUGAUACAAUGGUAACUACAAAGAGCAGCGAUGGAGCAAUCUUCAGCAAAUCUCCAAAAGUUACCUCAGUUCGGAUUGUACUCUGCAACUCGAGUACAUGAAGUUGGAAUCGCUAGUAAUCGUAGAUCAGCGCGCUACGGUGAAUACGUUCCCGGGUCUUGUACACACCGCCCGUCACACCAUGGGAGUUGGUUUUACCUGAAGCUGGUUUGCUAACCGUAAGGAGGCAGCCAACCACGGUAGGAUUAGCGACUGGGGUGAAGUCGUAACAAGGUAACC